rnacentral:rRNA from 1 species
CAGCAGCCACGGGAAUACGAAGGGUGCAAGCGUUACUCGGAAUUACUGGGCGUAAAGCGUGCGUAGGUGGUGGUUUAAGUCCGUUGUGAAAGCCCUGGGCUCAACCUGGGAGUUGCAGUGGAUACUGGAUCACUAGAGUGUGGUAGAGGAUAGUGGAAUUUCCGGUGUAGCAGUGAAAUGCGUAGAGAUCGGAAGGAACAUCUGUGGCGAAGGCGACUAUCUGGGCCAACACUGACACUGAGGCACGAAAGCGUGGGGAGCAAACAGGAUUAGAGACCCCCGUAGUCCCUGUCUCUUAUAC